AGUGGGCGUGCAGGAGAAGCUGUAGGUCAGGAGGUAGAGUUGGCAGUGGGCGUGCAGGAGAAGCUGUAGGUCGGAGAGGUAGAGUUGGCAGUGGGCGUGCAGGAGAAGCUGUAGGUCGGAGAGGUAGAGGUGGCAGUGGGCGUGCAGGAGAAGCUGUAGGUCGGGAGGUAGAGGUGGCAGUGGGCGUGCAGGAGAAGCUGUAGGUCAGAGUGGAGAGGUGGCAGUGGGCGUGCAGGAGAAGCUGUAGGUCGGAGAGGGUGCAGAGUGGAGAACAGAUGAGCUGGAGUCACACCAUGCCCUAUACCCAGCCAGAGGCCGAAGUGAGCCUGUCACGGUAAUGCCACUGCCUGCUUGAUUCCCUCCCAUGCCUAGCCUGGGUUCUUCAUGAUCCCUGAGGCCCUCUUUGAUGUCAUCCCGCUGCCUCAAAACCUGUGUGUGCUGGUGGCUCCCUCUGCUUUCCUUCCAGAUGACUCCUUCGCUUCAGCUCAAAUGUCACCUUUGGCUGUUAAAAUCCUUUCCGGAGGAAGUUGUAAACAAUGCCUACCCCUCCUCCCGA
rnacentral:lncRNA from 1 species